rnacentral:rRNA from 1 species
CCUACGGUGUGCAGCAGUGAGGAAUAUUGGUCAAUGGACGAGAGUCUGAACCAGCCAAGUAGCGUGAAGGAUGACUGCCCUAUGGGUUGUACCCUUCUUUUAUAUGGGAAUACAAUGUUCCCCGUGUGGGAUUUUGUAUGUACCAUAUGAAUACGGAUCGGCUAACUCCGUGCCAGCAGCCGCGGUAAUACGGAGGAUCCGAGCGUUAUCCGGAUUUCUUGGGUUUAACGGGAGCGUAGGUGGAUUGUUAAGUCAGUUGUGAAAGUUUGCGGCUUAACCGUAAAAUUGCAGUUGAAACUGGCAGUCUUGAGUACAGUAGAGGUGGGCGGAAUGCGUGGUGUAGCGGUGAAAUGCUUAGAUAUCACGAAGAACUCCGAUUGCGAAGGCAGUUCACUGGACUGCAACUGACACUGAGGCUCGAAAGUGUGGGUAUCAAACAGGAUUAGAUACCCUGGUAGUC